rnacentral:rRNA from 1 species
UUGUGAGGUUAAGCGACUAAGCGUACACGGUGGAUGCCCUGGCAGUCAGAGGCGAUGAAGGACGUGCUAAUCUGCGAUAAGCGUCGGUGAGGUGAUAUGAACCGUUAUAACCGGCGAUUUCCGAAUGGGGAAACCCAGUGUGUUUCGACACACUAUCAUUAACUGAAUCCAUAGGUUAAUGAGGCGAACCGGGGGAACUGAAACAUCUAAGUACCCCGAGGAAAAGAAAUCAACCGAGAUUCCCCCAGUAGCGGCGAGCGAACGGGGAGGAGCCCAGAGCCUGAAUCAGUGUGUGUGUUAGUGGAAGCGUCUGGAAAGGCGCGCGAUACAGGGUGACAGCCCCGUACACAAAAAUGCACAUAUUGUGAGCUCGAUGAGUAGGGCGGGACACGUGGUAUCCUGUCUGAAUAUGGGGGGACCAUCCUCCAAGGCUAAAUACUCCUGACUGACCGAUAGUGAACCAGUACCGUGAGGGAAAGGCGAAAAGAACCCCGGCGAGGGGAGUGAAAAAGAACCUGAAACCGUGUACGUACAAGCAGUGGGAGCCUCUUAAUGGGGUGACUGCGUACCUUUUGUAUAAUGGGUCAGCGACUUAUAUUCUGUAGCAAGGUUAACCGAAUAGGGGAGCCGAAGGGAAACCGAGUCUUAACUGGGCGUUAAGUUGCAGGGUAUAGACCCGAAACCCGGUGAUCUAGCCAUGGGCAGGUUGAAGGUUGGGUAACACUAACUGGAGGACCGAACCGACUAAUGUUGAAAAAUUAGCGGAUGACUUGUGGCUGGGGGUGAAAGGCCAAUCAAACCGGGAGAUAGCUGGUUCUCCCCGAAAGCUAUUUAGGUAGCGCCUCGUGAAUUCAUCUCCGGGGGUAGAGCACUGUUUCGGCAAGGGGGUCAUCCCGACUUACCAACCCGAUGCAAACUGCGAAUACCGGAGAAUGUUAUCACGGGAGACACACGGCGGGUGCUAACGUCCGUCGUGAAGAGGGAAACAACCCAGACCGCCAGCUAAGGUCCCAAAGUCAUGGUUAAGUGGGAAACGAUGUGGGAAGGCCCAGACAGCCAGGAUGUUGGCUUAGAAGCAGCCAUCAUUUAAAGAAAGCGUAAUAGCUCACUGGUCGAGUC